rnacentral:misc_RNA from 1 species
AAGUCGUAACAAGGUCUCCGUUGGUGAACCAGCGGAGGGAUCAUUACAGAGUGUAACAACUCCCAAACCCACUGUGAACAUACCUCGCGUUGCCUCGGCGGGCUGCCCCGCGUCUCCGGACGGCGGGGUCCGCCGGCGGCCCACGAAACUCUUGUCAGUAUUUGGCAUCUCUGAACGCAAACUAAAAUCAGUUAAAACUUUCAACAACGGAUCUCUUGGUUCUG